AUUGAACGCUGGCGGCAGGCCUAACACAUGCAAGUCGAACGAGUGGCGGACGGGUGAGUAAUGUCUGGGAAACUGCCUGAUGGAGGGGGAUAACUACUGGAAACGGUAGCUAAUACCGCAUACUAUCAGAUGUGCCCAGAUGGGAUUAGCUUGUUGGUGGGGUAACGGCUCACCAAGGCGACGAUCCCUAGCUGGUCUGAGAGGAUGACCAGGGACACGGCAACUGAGACAAGGGGGAGGCGCCUACGGGCGGGGCCAGUGGGGAAGGUGGCAGAGUGGGCGCAAGUCAGAAGCAGCCCUGCCGCGCGUAUGAAGAGGGCCAUCGGGUUGUAAAGCACGUUCAGUGGGGAGGCGUUACCUGUAGAAGAAGAACCGGCUAACUCCGUGCCAGCAGCCGCGGUAAUAC
rnacentral:rRNA from 1 species